UUUAGAGAAGGAGUUCUCGCGAUACGCUUCAUUCAAGAUAAAGCAACGCUGAUGAUCGCUUAAACUUCUUGAUUAAUAUCAUCCUUUACAGGUCAGCGGUCACGCCUCUUUCUUUCACUCGGCACGGCGGCAGUCGCUGGAGCCUGCAGGACGCUUGACAGCUCAGCAAUGGCCCUGCCAACUUUAUCCUCAGAUGAGCUGAUCCAAACAUGACAGAAGGUGGUGUAACUAUGACAGAAGUUGAAGCACAGAAAUUCAGAGGGUGAACACAACACACCAUACCCAAUUGUCCAGGUGACCCAAGAAGACUGGAAGUCCACAUUUGAGGGACGAAGCUCCUGUUCCCUGAAGGUAGACAGGGUCGAGGUGUGUGAAGGCAUGAAGGUAGAGAAAGCCAUGAUCUCCUCAUUUUAUUCAUAUUUUUGUUUUCAAUCUUGAAUACCAACCCAAAAACAAGAACACUCUGACCUUCCUCCAGCGAUGCAUUGCGAAAAUGCCAUCCAAGAUAUCCAUGUCUUUCUUUCCUCAGUGGGAGAGAAAUUGUUUUUUGAGGAAAACAUUUCUGGAUUUUUCUUCU
ensembl:lncRNA